GAGAUAGACAAAACCAGGCAGCAUGGGGUGCUGGAGCUUUCUCACCAGCCAGAGGUUAUUUUUUGGAGCACGCAGGGAGGAAAGACCCAGCCUGAUGUGCAGAACAUGUAGAAGUACCCCCAGGCCUCACUCACAUCUCAGGUGUCAAAAUGACGUCUUCAAACGACUGAAGCUUACUACAGGGGACUGUUGGCUGCUGUAAUAUUUAGCCCAGUUUUCUAAGCAGGACAAGUUUCCAACCCAGCAAACUCUUCCUUCCUGCUCCCCACAAAACCUUCUGAAAUGGACAUCUAAGUUUCAACUAAAUUUGAAAGAGAAGCAGAAGUCCUCACAAUAAGAAGUUCCUUGGAAGUGAUACUCGGAGAGGAAAAGGCUUUCCUGUUGCAGUCAGCUGCUCAGUGGAUACUGCACGUGCUAUGAAAGCUGUCUAUUCAAUGGACAUCAAGAAGUAAUAACCCCCUUGGGUAUGAACGAAAAGAGACAGCUCUGGGACAGUUCCAACCUGAGGCCUUACUCUGUAACCACUGUGCAGCUCGCACAUCAAAAUAGUUUGGAUAUUCGUGGAUUUAAUUAUGGCGGGGUUGCUACAGCAACAUCAUGUACAACGUGCAACUCCCAUCGCUUUUCCAACUGCAGCUUGUUUGGGCCAUUAUUUUAUACCACUGCUUUAUAAACCUUCACAAUUAUCUCAGAAGGCCUCCACGCCACCUGGUAUGCUUGACUUCAUCGCUGGCAUAGCAACAAAACUGCAGCUGAAGUAAAACAAUCAAAUUUAACGACUUCAAUGUUGCAUGUAAAGCAAUUCUCUGUGUAAACAGCUUCCCCUCGUAUUUCUGCUACUGAGGUUUAGAACAAGGUUCUUUCAAAAAAACAUCACAAAUCACCCUUCAGAACAAUAGCAGAGAGCAGUCUGCCAGUUCUCCAGUAGGCAUGAGCUGUCUAACUGGCACCACUACCACCUCAGACGUUUUUCCUGCCUUGCUUGCCAGGAAUUCAGUAUAGCAUAUUAAUAAUACUAAUACCUCCCAAUUACCUAGUCUUUACAAGUUCAAAGCUUGAAAAAAAUAUGAAAUAAUCUACUACAGCAAUUUCCAGAUUCAUGCUAAUUCCUGUUAACGCAAUGCUUUUAAAAUCUGACAUGUUCUGGAGUGUUGAAUUUCAUCCCUUUCAUUUUCAGUGUUUUUUUUUUUAGCUUUUAUCUGAUUUUUUUCCCCAAUUUCUGGAAUUUGUGACUUUUUUUUUUUUUUUUUUUCCCCAAGACUGGUGGUACAGCCUGCCUUGUUGAGUCAAAAAUAAACUCUGACCUGAGUUGACAUUUCCCUUUACACUGGCUUUCUCCAGUCACCUUCCUUUCCCAAGUCUUCUGUUAGUACUCCCUCAGUAUUUGACUUUGUCCUUGCAGUCAGUUAAGCAAUGUGGCUUAAUGUCUAUCACACACAAAUUAGUCUCACCUCAAGGAAAGAAUGGGCUCUGUGUUGUCUGGAUUUUUUAAACUAUGGAUGUAUAUGUGUGUUGCUGUAAGUUUGUGUCAGGCAAUCAUGCCAGACAUGUUAGCACUAGCA